rnacentral:tmRNA from 1 species
GGGGCUGAUUCUGGAUUCGACGGGAUUUGCGAAACCCAAGGUGCAUGCCGAGGGGCGGUUGGCCUCGUAAAAAGCCGCAAAAAAAUAGUCGCAAACGACGAAAACUACGCUUUAGCAGCUUAAUAACCUGCUUAGAGCCCUCUCUCCCUAGCCUCCGCUCUUAGGACGGGGAUCAAGAGAGGUCAAACCCAAAAGAGAUCGCGCGGAUGCCCUGCCUGGGGUUGAAGCGUUAAAACGAAUCAGGCUAGUCUGGUA